CUUAAAACUUCCGUGUCCAUAAUUUCAGUUUCCCUCCUCGGCUCCUUUUCACUCUACAGUCUGAUCUUUCUCGUCUGAAGCAGCCGUGCACUAAAAGCUAUGAAGCUCGAUAAAUUAUGCUUAGGAUUUUCAAGAUAUCAAAUGCAAUGGAGAAGUGGAGAUUAGGUAAUGCUGAAAUUUCAUGAAUGAGAGAACUCGUUAUGCCGAUUGAGCGUGGAAGUUGUCUUGGCAGAGAACCUAAAAUCAAGUUAAGCAAGUGGAGAAUAUAUGGGCUGCCAAAUUGAAAUUCAUCUUAUUUUCCUUUUGAAUUAAAAAUAUAUAUGAAGCAUCAUGGAGUACUAAGAGAGGGAAAGAUAAAAAAGGAACUUUCCAUUUUGGGAUUCAAGAAUUGAGAAAGGUAAGAAAAACAUUGAUGAAAAUAGGUGUGCACUAAGUGUAGCUCUAUUCCCAAGGAUCCAAGGCACCGAAUUUUACUUCUAGUAAUGGCACCAACUAAAGCCUUUGGACUAUAUGUCUUCUGACAGUUCAUCAUAUUUUGUUUCGUUUUUGUUCUCUUCCCCUUUAAAGCUACUUUCAAUAUUCCCCUUUUUAAAAAAUAGCCUCAUCACCUUUUUAUUUCCUAUAGUUUAUGCUUGAUUUCGAUGGCUAGGGCUUAUAAUUUGAAUGUUUCAAUUUGCUUCGUAUAGUUUGUUAUAUCACUUUUUGUUUUUUUGGCUUCCAUUAAUAAUUUUCUUGUCUAAUUUGUUUUAGUUCAUCUCAU